CGACUCUCAGCACCUCCCGUUACUUGGCGCCGGCGCUCCCGGGCCAUCUCCCUCCGCCGACACCACGCCUACUCCCGCCCGGGCAGCACGAACGGGGGAAGGGGCAAGAAGACGCAUCCGUCCGGCUCAGCCCCGCGGCGACUGCCUCCUCCGCCUUCUCUUCCUCCUCCCCCCACAGACUUUAUCAUGAUGUACUCCACAAGGAGUGCCCUCCUCCAGGUGACACCGGCCAACUCCUUUACAUAGACAUGUUCUAUGUGUAACUGGAGAAUAUAAAUUAAGGCCUCCCACGCACCCUAAGCAGAAGAGUUUCCCUUUCUGAGGCAACCUCUGUAAGGCUGGCGGCAGCCCCAAAAGCCCCCUCUUUCUUGCUGGCUGCACUCAAGACGCUGCUGGACAGAGACGCGCCCUAUGCCCUUGGCUCAUGCGGGGCCAAACCGCAAGCUGCAUCCGCACACGGUCCCUAGAACCGCUGCUGUCUACCAAGCCCCAGUUGCUGUGGUAGAAGGCCCCAAAAGCCCACCAAACGCCGCAGUGGAAAAUGCCACAGCCUGCUUAGAGGACUAUAAAAGCCCUCACCCCACUUCAAACCGGCACGACUUCUCUGGCCCCGUUCUGUGGCACCCGUGAAUCUCGCCCGGGAAUGCUCGAUAAACACAACGUUUGUUUGC